UCUGUAGCUCAGUGGAUAGAGCGAUGGCCUCCGGAGCCGUGUGCGUAGGUUCGAUUCCUAUCAGAC
rnacentral:tRNA from 1 species